rnacentral:rRNA from 1 species
UACGGGGGGGGCAAGCGUUGUUCGGAAUUACUGGGCGUAAAGGGCCAGUAGGCGGCCAACUAAGUCCGACGUGAAAUCCCAAGGCUUAACCUUGGAACUGCGUUGGAUACUGGAUGGCUUGAAUUCGGGAGAGGGAUGCAGAAUUCCAGGUGUAGCGGUGAAAUGCGUAGAUAUCUGGAGGAAUACCGGUGGCGAAGGCGGCAUCCUGGACCGACAUUGACGCUGAACGGCGAAAGCUAGGGGAGCAAACGGG